rnacentral:rRNA from 1 species
UGGGGAAUAUUGGACAAUGGAGGGAACUCUGAUCCAGCAAUUCUGUGUGUGUGAAGAAGGUUUUAGGACUGUAAAACACUUUUAGUAGGGAAGAAAAAAAUGACGGUACCUACAGAAGAAGCAACGGCUAAAUACGUGCCAGCAGCCGCGGUAAUACGUAUGUUGCGAGCGUUAUCCGGAAUUAUUGGGCUUAAAGGGCAUCUAGGCGGUAAGACAAGUUGAAGGUGAAAACCUGUGGCUCAACCAUAGGCUUGCCUACAAAACUGUUGAACUAGAGUACUGGAAAGGUGGGUGGAACUACACGAGUAGAGGUGAAAUUCGUAGAUAUGUGUAGGAAUGCCGAUGAUGAAGAUAACUCACUGGACAGAAACUGACGCUGAAGUGCGAAAGCUAGGGGAGCAAACGGG